CAAGUUGUCUCUUUGAGGUUUAUGGCCAUGACAGAGAAAGGGAACAGUAAGACAGCCAUUUACAGCAGUCUUUGUGCUGACAAGCAGCAAGGAGCAAAGCUUCAGAUUUGCUCUUUUCAGCUCAAGUCCUCCAAUGCCUGGGGAGAUCUGCAGCCAAGGAAAAGCCUAUAACAGGUACUGCUACACAACACUCUGGAGAGUCAGCAAAAUACAAGUUGAACUUGAAAAACAACUGAACAAGUAGAGAGGGAAUGUUCUGACAUUGGAACAAUACAGAGAAAAAUAUGCACACGCAUUACGAACAAGAUCUGCCAUUCUAUACUGACAUAAAAGAAGCACUUCCCAGAAGCCUGAAACCUAGAAAAUGCAUUAAGGUUUAUCCUCCACAUCAACUGGAAAGAAAAGCUUAAGAAAUGGAAAAAUGGAAGUAAAGAGCACUCUUAUACCUGAAGCUUAGCAGAGCGGAGACCAGAUGGAGCAGCGUGCUGUGGCUCCUGUGACACAUCACUUCCCUGAAGCAUCAUGAUGAUGAACCCUUGUUGUCUAGCCUAAGUGGCAGAAAGUAUCCAAAGCCUAGAAAGGUGUACUGCCAUUGUUCCUGUAUGGGCUUGUGCUGGAAAUGGAAAUCAGGUGUACACAGUCUGUCAUUAAAAAAUAUACUGCUGUUAAGUUGCUGUUUCUUUUAAAAAUAAACCUUCAAAUUCUGUCUACAACACCUGAUCUCAGCUACCACCGUAUUUUGUCCUUAGCUUUGUUAGACUCUAAACUUGUAAUGCAUUACAACAUUUCAACAAGAAUAGGAAGAAAUGUCAAUGCAUCUUAACUAU
ensembl:lncRNA